CCCUUAGAUGUCCUGGGCCGCACGCGUGCUACACUGACACUUACACCGAGUUUUUCCAAUGCCGAAAGGCCAUUGGUAAUCAGCAAUAAGUGUCGUGAUGGGGAUAGAUCUUUGGAAUUAUUGAUCUUGAACGAGGAAUGCCUAGUAACCGUAGGUCAUCAGCCUGCGAUGAUUACGUCCCUGCCCUUUGUACACACCGCCCGUCGCUCCUACCGAUUGGGUGCUCCGGUGAAUUGUUUGGACUGCUGUUAGUCUUUUUGGCUGUCGGCGAGAUGCUCUGUGAACCUUAGUACCUAGAGGAAGGAGAAGUCGUAACA
rnacentral:rRNA from 1 species